AAGUAUCUGUCAUGUAAAGCUUAGUUGUUGACGGUUAUAGCAACGUCGUAUUUCAGUUCAGUUCUGGGUUCAAAGAAUGCCUUUAGUUAUGAGCGUUCUUGAAAUGCUAAAAUGCUAACGGACUACGGAAAGUGAAAAAAAAAACCGUUAAAGAUAUAUUAACAAAUCAUGACAACAAUCGUCAAUCGACUGCAUUUGCUGUUAACGUUGAUUUCCAUGUCGAAGGCUAUGGAAUGCCAACAAUUCAGAGCAAAUCUUGAGGCUGACAACAAAAUCUCGACACAGGCACCAUCAGACAAUUUGCACGCUGUUUCGUUUGCCACCUGUUCCCGAUCGUGCAUAAAUGGAUGCGAAUGUUUCAGCUUUAACUCUCGGUCAAAUAUGUGCAGACUCUAUAUACAUAGAAGCUCAUGUGAUCCCUCCAACAUGACGGUUAGCGAAGCAGGGUGGAGAUCAUACACAAUCUUUGAAAUACAACCAACAGAGACAUUACCACUGGACUGCAAGUCACUAUACAUGAACGGGAAAAGAAAAUCCGGAGUGUACACUAUUUACCCUUGGGAGAGGUCUGACCCUAAUUACCGUCCUGUUCAGGUCUACUGUGAUAUGGAGACAGAGGGUGGAGGAUGGACGGCAAUACAAAGACGAGUUAACGGAGAAGAAAGCUUUUAUCGGAAUUGGACGGAGUACAAACUCGGAUUUGGAUCACCUAAUGUUGACUACUGGAUUGCAACGAUGCCAUACAUCAGCUAACAAAUGGACGAAAUUUGUCACUGCGAGUCACAAUUACGCCGAUGAACGGUGGUUCUGUAUCUUUCAAGAUGUAUCAUCAGUUUUAUGUUUUUGGCGAGGACCUGAACUAUAAACUUCAACUUGCAGUGCCUGGAAAUGGAAAUUUAGAUGAUGUUCUGUUAUAUAGUGGCGGUCUCAGGCUGACAGGAAUGCAGUUUAGUACCUUAGAUGUCGACAAUGACAAGAUUUCUGGUAACUGUGCAGAUGGCUACUAUGGGGGCUGGUGGUUCAAUAGUUGUCAUGAUGCCUAUCUCAACGGUCCUUGGCUCUCAACAUCCUGGAGUUAUCCUUGGUAUUCACAAUAUACAACAGGAACAUACGUGAAUGGAACAUCAAUGUUGAUAAAAUAACUUCAAAGUCAAGAAUAAGUAUCAGCAAACAACAUACUUGCCCUUAAUCUUAAAAUUGCAUUGAUGCUUGUUUUCUAUAUACAAACUUGCUUUGAAGUAAACGGCAAAAUAUUUUUCUCUUUGAAAUUU
rnacentral:misc_RNA from 1 species